GCCAUCGAAGAGGGAGGGAUCGAAGAAGAAGAUUGCUCUGCUCGGCUGCUGCUGUUGCGAUGAUUGGGAUGGUGGGUGCCGUGGUUUGUUUCAAUUCCAUCUACGUAUGUUGCUUGCCGAGCACCUUCACAAAAGAGAAUCUCAUCCUGUAUGCAGAUACUUUGUCCUACAGUGAUAGAUGAGUGUCAUCAAUAACCAAGUGUAUGAAAGGCAAAACCAUCAUAUGACAGAUUGUCAAAUCCUGCAUCCAUCGUAGAUGCAUGAAUGUUUCACUUUGUGUCAGAGCAGUAACCAUGGAAAUAGUUACCGGUUCAGCACCAUUGAAUAAAGAAUUUUGAGCAGUUUUAACAUGACCCAUCUGGCCCUCUUACCUGCUGUUUUCACGUCAUGAAACUUUUCGUGCUACCUUCCAGAUGAUAGAUGUUCAAUCUGCAUUUCCGUGAAGCCUAGAUGCUCGAAAUACCGGAGUUUGGACUGGAUUAGUUAAUGGCAGUGUGUGCAUCACGA
rnacentral:lncRNA from 1 species